rnacentral:rRNA from 1 species
UACGUAGGGUCCGAGCGUUGUCCGGAAUUACUGGGCGUAAAGAGCUCGUAGGUGGUUUGUCGCGUUGUUCGUGAAAACUCACAACUCAAUUGUGGGCGUGCGGGCGAUACGGGCAGACUGGAGUACUGCAGGGGAGACUGGAAUUCCUGGUGUAGCGGUGGAAUGCGCAGAUAUCAGGAGGAACACCGGUGGCGAAGGCAGGUCUCUGGGCCGAUACUGACGCUGAGGAGCGAAAGCGUGGGGAGCGAACAGG